AAAAAGAAAAAAAAAACUAAAAUCAAACCGUUCCUUCUCUGCCUUUCUGUUCAUACCAUCUUCACCGUCUUCGUCUUCUCUCUGUUCCGGUGAUCCUAUUUAACUCAAGAACAAUCCAUCGCCACCAUCAACAACAAUCGAUCGCACUGCUUCAUUGAAGAGCAUCUCUUUUAAGGUUAGGGUUUAUGUUGAUUUUCUGCUACAAGAAGUUGAAGGAUUGCGAGAAGAACUUUAAUCUAUUCAAUGAAGGAGAAGAAGAAGCUCCCCUGCAAUUGUUCAAUACCUCCGUAGUUAGUAAUACCUCCGUGGAUGCAAUAGAGACGAUGAAUCAAGGAGGAGGUAAUACUGAUACUUACAGUCACCAUCAGAUAAUUAUGUCCAAUUUUCAUUGAAUUGCUUAUGUGAGGGAGAAAGGGAAAUUGAAGGGAAAAAGGUAAUACCCUUAUGGAAUUGGUUAUUUUAGAUCAUGGCUCCCUCUAUCUGCUCAGCCAUCACCAACAGUUGCAAUUCCAAAUUCAGUCCCUGCAAGUCUCAGAGCACACACACCAGAACCCAUUGCCCCAUUGUUGUAGCUUCUCUGGUAGCACCAACAACAGCUCUGCAACCACCACUGAUUCCAACUCAACCUAAAUCCACCCAUUCACCAAAGCAAGCUCGGUUCUCCUCUUCUUAGUGGUAAACACCAAUUACCCAUCUAUAUGAACAUAGCAAAAAACCAAACGACCUGAAUAAUUGAGAACGACCUUUCUUUAUUUAUUUGGGAGUGCAGAUCUAACCUUAUUAGAAUUGGGAAACUUCUCUCUGAUAGAAUGUUUUGAUUAGUGUGCUUAUUAAAUCCACCAAUGCAAAAAUUAUAAUGA